GUUGUAUUCUUAUUUGAUGGUAAUCUGUCCUUUGGUCAAUCUUUGAAAAAUUAUUGAAUCAUUUAUCUCCACCAAUAGUGCCUCAAUCACAUGAGUUGUACAUUUGUCUUAAUGGUCUCUCAGUAUAACUCUAACUCCAUAGUCAAUACACAUCCUCCAACUAUUGUUUUUUUCUUGAAAAGAACAAUUGGGAAGAAAAUAAACUGACAUGAGGCUGUAUUACUCCAUUGUUAAGUAACUUCUUGAUAACUUUUGCUAUUACAUCUUUGUGCAGUGGUGAGUGUCUAUAAUGUCCCACAUGCUAGGCUUGGUGCCUUUGAGGGGUAUUCUGUGAUCAAGUGAUCCAUGAGGGGACAGUGAUUUUGGUUUCUCAAACAAGUCUAAAUUAUUCUGGUAAUUGGUUCUGGUCAGAACAUAUUACCUCAGAGGGGGAAAGGUUGCCAAUAUAAGAGGUUGUUGAUUGGCUUGAAACUUUCUGGUGAUAUCCAUGUAGGCACAGAAUAUUACUUGUGAGGACCUGUGCAGGCAUCAAGCUCGCACAGACGACAUACUUAUCCUGGAUUUUUGUUGGUCGCUGUAUCCAUUCUCUUAUAUUAUAUGCUUUGCUCUGAGGCACAAUUAUUUCCCUCAAGUAUUUGCCUUUCUCCAUUCUGCUUUUCUUCCAUCUUUAACAUUUUGAAGUUCCAAAAGACUGUCCAAUGUUAGUUAGUCGUUGUUUUCCGAACAAUGCUUCACACCUAGAGGCAUAACUAUAUAGUCAGCUCAGAAAUUAGAGCAAUGCAUCUGCCUACAGAAUUUCCUACUCCAAGUUGUGCACUUAAGCUUUUGACAAUUGUCAAAUGGCUACACAAUGACUGGAGUGAGAGAGCUCAAUUUACAUCCUGAGCUCUUUGCUAGUGCCAAAUCCAUGAAAUUAUGAGUGUUCCCAGAAUCAAUUAAGAUGUGGAGUUUCCUUCUUUCUUUUAAAGAAGCCUAUGACCCUCAGUAUCUGGUGCUCCUUUGGAUCUUGGAUUCCUUUGAGGAAAAUCUCCUGGUUGUUCUUCAGUCAAAUCUGUAGAUUCAAAUCCCAUUGUGCCUUCAUAGAGCUCUUGCACAAUAAUGGUGUGCACUUGCUUCUUUUAACACUGGUGUCUGGCACAAAUUUCUCAUCACAGCUGAGACAUAAGGCCAUAACUGAUACAGGUUGUUGAAAUCUUGUAGAUGAUGGGAAUUUAGCCACAUUUUAUGGGGUACAUAAUUUGGGGGCUGGGGUUUUCUUUUGUGCAGGUAAUGGGGGAGUUUUCCAAGGGUUUCUUGUGGAUAUGUUUAAACAGGUAAGAUUUUCUUUGUAAUCUAGCCAAGGUGUAAGCUUCUUGUGGUGACUUGGGAUUGAACAUCCUAAAGUAGUUGGAUUUCCUUCUUCAGGCCACUGAGGCUCUGCCUAUAGCUCAGAUAAGGUAACCUUGUGCGUUAAAAUAUCAAAUUUCUCUAGAUACUAUUGCAGUGAACCUUCUUUUUAAGGUUUUCCAGAUCUGCCAUGGGGUCCUCAAAUACUUGCUUUCUAAAUCUAAAUACUGACUGAACCGGUGUACUCUUCCCAAAUUAAAUAUUCCUUAUUGGUUCUAUUCUUCAUAUAGUCUUUAUGCCAUUGUGACGCCUUGCCCUCUAAUGAAUAGAUGCCAUAUGGAAGCUUAUCAUCGAACCUAGAAGAAUCUUUCAUACUUUAAAAACCCACCCUGUGAGAAUCUUUCACAUAGAAGUGAGGAAAUUCAAUUAUAGUGAAACGUGAAGGAAUCUGGCAGAUGCUAGCAACACUAGAACUUGCAGAACUAGAAUUAGAUGAGGUAUGGUUUUGGUAAUAAUAAAGGGCAGAUUGUCACCUGCAGACUGAUUUCGCAGAUUGGCAUGAAGAUCUUAAUUCAUUCAUAACUUGAUCUUGCUUUCUGCUAAGCUCUUGAAUUGAUUCUUCUGCAUGUUGUUAUUCUCUUGUAUCAUGCUUCAAACUACAUUCCUCUGUGACUGUCAGUCUUCAAUUUUCUUCAUCUUGGACUCAAUUUUUUUGAGUUCUGCAGGUCUGGUGUUGUCUGCUACAGACAUGGUAGGUUGGGGAUGAAUUUUUGCUGGAAUUGGAGUUAAUUGGGGGUUUUGGGAGCUAUGAAUCAGGUCCUUGAAGUGUUCUGAUACCAUAUGAUGCAAUUAGAAUUUAGAAUUCUGCUCGUAUCUGUUUGGUAGUUGGGAAUUGGCAAAGUGAAGGAAAACAAGGGAAAUUGGGAGAGAUGAGAGAUGAAAAUAGGGAACUGUUAUAUAUUAAAGUUCAAGUCAUCAAUACAACAUUGUUCUCAUCUACGUAAAACUGAUUGUUAACAAACUGAUUACUCGUUAAAAAACUAAAAACAAAUACAACACUUUUUUAACAAUCCACUGCAGAGGUGCGCCAUGUACUAGGUGCUGGCUUUACGUCCCACCAUUUUCUCCACAUAACAUCAUGUAGAUUAUGAUUGUAGAAGUUACAGCUGUGGUUUUCAAUGCAUUUGCAUAUCAAAACAAAUGAUUAUGAAUGGAUUAAUAAUGAUCUGAAAGGAUGAUCUUAUGGUUUUAUUUCAGGGAACCUCUUAUAACAAAUAUCAUGUGGAGGAACUUACUCAUACAGGCUUUGUAUCAAGUAGGUGUUCUCCUUGUUUUGAACUUCUGGGGCAGGAGCAUUCUCCAUUUGAAUGGUGAAGAAAGGGAACAUGCUACAGACGUAAAAAAUACUAUGAUAUUCAAUGCAUUUGUCCUCUGUCAAAUAUUCAAUGAGUUCAAUGCUCGAAAGCCAGAUGAAAUCAAUGUCUUUAGUGGAAUCACCAAAAACCGAUUAUUUAUGGGAAUAGUUGGAUUUACUUUUGUACUACAGAUAAUCCUCAUUGAAUUUGCUGGGAAAUUUAUGUCAACUGUGAGACUUAAUUGGAAAUUAUGGCUUGCAUCCAUGGCUAUUGCCUUUGUCAGCUGGCCUCUUGCCGCAGUCGGAAAACUUGUUCCAGUUCCCGAAACUCCAUUAUCUGUUUACUUGGUUAAGCCAUUUCGGCGAUGGAGAACUCGUCAGAACACAUAAAAUCCCUUUGUGUAUGGUUGCUUGCCUAUAUCUUUGAUUAUCUGACGAACACCGCAUAUUUAAAGGUGGACUGAUGAUUUCUAGCAAAUACCUGCCUUGGCAAAAGCUCUGCUGCUAACCCAUUUAACACAAAAGUUGUUAAAAUUGUGAACGUAGCAUUGUAAUGUUACAUCAUAGUUGAUUUGCUGUCCUCUAUUCUAAUGAAAUUUUCAGCACAGAAAGGCUUAUAAUGGAAAUAUUAUCCCUACGUUUGCAUUUGAAAGUUUACCUUAACGUUUCCAAAUUGGGAGUAAAUAUGAAACUUUGUAUUGUAUGGUCUUAUAACCAAAGGCCUUAUGACUUUCCAGCAUGACUAUUGACUUGAGGUUCCGAAAUGGCAGAAGAAAACCUCAGCUCUAACUUUAGACCAAUGAUCUUCACUGGAAAGAAAACUAUGAAAGUUGCUGCUAAGGAUAUCUGA
rnacentral:misc_RNA from 1 species